CCCUAGCCCUGAUAGAAAUGGUUACCCCGCAGCCUGGGUUGGAGAAUAGAUGGGUCUGAGCGUGGGAGGACGCUGGCGCGAGGAGUAGGAAUGGAUAGCAGGAUAAAGC
rnacentral:misc_RNA from 1 species